AGGUGGUACAGUGCCUCAGUCAGUAUGUCUGGCUGUUAACCAGACGGAUGGUGGUUCGAGCCCAUGCAGGGAUG